UACGAAGGGGGCUAGCGUUGUUCGGAUUUACUGGGCGUAAAGCGCACGUAGGCGGUUUGUUAAGUCAGGGGUGAAAUCCUGGAGCUCAACUCCAGAACUGCCUUUGAUACUGGCAAUCUCGAGUCCGGAAGAGGUAAGUGGAACUCCUAGUGUAGAGGUGGAAUUCGUAGAUAUUAGGAAGAACACCAGUGGCGAAGGCGGCUUACUGGUCCGGAACUGACGCUGAGGUGCGAAAGCGUGGGGAGCAAACAGG
rnacentral:rRNA from 1 species